rnacentral:lncRNA from 1 species
GCCUACUACCCAAAAAGGUGGGCUAGGAUCGAAACAAUCUAAUGAUCUAGAAUCUACCACUACUGUACAUUGAAUCUAGACAUGUGGAUUAAAAGAUCUAGAAUGAUCCAUCUGACGGGCUAGGCCUUGAGCUUCUCUUGUUAGACUUGACCUUCACAAAUGGAUCCUCUAGGUUGGCCCAAUAGUUGUUGGGUUGAGCUUUGAACUUGCGGGCCAUGACAGUCUCCCCCACAUGAUCCUGUGACGUCCUCGUCCCCUAGGUAGUUCUUUCUCGUUCGAAUGCUUCAAUGUAGUCUUUGUAUUGCCAUAAGGACUCUUCUU